GAUCAUGGCUCAGGAUGAACGCUAGCGGCAGGCUUAAUACAUGCAAGUCGAACGGGAUUCAGGUAGCAAUACUUGAUGAGAGUGGCGCACGGGUGCGUAACACGUAUGCAACCUACCUUUAACUGGUGAAUAGCCCCGGGAAAUCGGGAUUAAUACACCAUAACAUUACAAGAGGGCAUCCUCUAAUAAUUAAAGAACUUCGGUUAAAGAUGGGCAUGCGGGACAUUAGCUAGUUGGUGAGGUAACGGCUCACCAAGGCAACGAUGUCUAGGGGUCCUGAGAGGGUUAUCCCCCACACUGGUACUGAGACACGGACCAGACUCCUACGGGAGGCAGCAGUAAGGAAUAUUGGUCAAUGGGCGCAAGCCUGAACCAGCCAUGCCGCGUGAAGGAAGACGGCGCUAUGCGUUGUAAACUUCUUUUGUCAGGGAAUAAAUGUAGGUACGUGUACUUACUUGAAGGUACCUGAAGAAUAAGCAUCGGCUAACUCCGUGCCAGCAGCCGC
rnacentral:rRNA from 1 species